UUCGCAAUGCCCGAAAGGGUGACGGUGCGACGCCGCGUGGGUGACGAAGGCCUUCGGGUUGUAAAGCCCUGUCGAGGCGGGAAGAACCCCCCAUCGGUGAACAGCCUUUGGGGCUGACGGUACCGCCACAGGAAGCUCCGGCCAACUCCGUGCCAGCAGCCGCGGUAACACGGGGGGAGCAAGCGUUGUUCGGAAUUACUGGGCAUAAAGCGCGCGUAGGUGGCUUGGUAUGUCAAUGGUGAAAUCCUGUGGCUCAACCAUAGAACUGCCGUUGAAACUGCCUUGCUUGAGUUCAGGAGGGGAGAGUGGAAUUCCAAGUGUAGCGGUGAAAUGCGUAGAUAUUUGGAGGAACGCCGGCGGCGAAAGCGACUCUCUGGCCCGAAACUGACGCUGAGUGUGCGAAAGCUAGGGGAGCAAACGGGAUUAGAUACCCCGGUAGUCCUAGCCGUAAACGAUGGGCACUAAGUAGAGGGGUUUU
rnacentral:rRNA from 1 species